rnacentral:lncRNA from 1 species
CUUGCCUGUAUGCAUAACUUCUGUUACUUUACUGUACGCACGAUGAAGAGUGUCAUAUAAAUGAGCAAGCCGCUCAAAAUCUCUCCUUUUUUCAUAAAUGGGAAUUAUAAGUUUAUAUAUAUCAGCAAUCAGUUCAUAGCGUUCUGCCUUCCAGAGUCCAUCAGCACACUGCUCCAACAGUUCCAUCAGCACAUCUUCAUUGAAGUGAACAUCUUGCAUUCCGACAUCCUCCA